UACGUAGGGUGCAAGCGUUAAUCGGAAUUACUGGGCGUAAAGCGUGCGCAGGCGGCCGCGCAAGUCGAGUGUGAAAGCCCCGAGCUUAACUUGGGAAUUGCGCUCGAAACUACGUGGCUGGAGUGUGGCAGAGGAAGGUGGAAUUCCACGUGUAGCGGUGAAAAUGCGUAGAGAUGUGGAGGAACACCGAUGGCGAAGGCAGCCUUCUGGGCCAACACUGACGCUCAUGCACGAAAGCGUGGGAGCAAACAGG
rnacentral:rRNA from 1 species